rnacentral:rRNA from 1 species
UGCAGUCGAGCGGAGAUGAGGUGCUUGCACCUUAUCUUAGCGGCGGACGGGUGAGUAAUGCUUAGGAAUCUGCCUAUUAGUGGGGGACAACAUUCCGAAAGGAAUGCUAAUACCGCAUACGCCCUACGGGGGAAAGCAGGGGAUCUUCGGACCUUGCGCUAAUAGAUGAGCCUAAGUCGGAUUAGCUAGUUGGUGGGGUAAAGGCCUACCAAGGCGACGAUCUGUAGCGGGUCUGAGAGGAUGAUCCGCCACACUGGGACUGAGACACGGCCCAGACUCCUACGGGAGGCAGCAGUGGGGAAUAUUGGACAAUGGGCGGAAGCCUGAUCCAGCCAUGCCGCGUGUGUGAAGAAGGCCUUUUGGUUGUAAAGCACUUUAAGCGAGGAGGAGGCUACUUAGAUUAAUACUCUAGGAUAGUGGACGUUACUCGCAGAAUAAGCACCGGCUAACUCUGUGCCAGCAGCCGCGGUAAUACAGAGGGUGCGAGCGUUAAUCGGAUUUACUGGGCGUAAAGCGUGCGUAGGCGGCUGAUUAAGUCGGAUGUGAAAUCCCUGAGCUUAACUUAGGAAUUGCAUUCGAUACUGGUCAGCUAGAGUAUGGGAGAGGAUGGUAGAAUUCCAGGUGUAGCGGUGAAAUGCGUAGAGAUCUGGAGGAAUACCG